GUCCAACUCUCACCUCUGUGCAUGACUGCUGAAAAAAUCCAUAGCUUUGAUUUACUGGACAAGUGAUUGGAUAGUCUGAGAUGUCUUGGAUCCCAACCUCGAGACUAAGAACUGGUUGUGAGACUUGGACAGCCUUCCACGUUGAUUACUUCCAUGAAGAGAAGCCCAAUUCCUUUAUGAUAAACUGCCUCUCACACUGAUGAGUCUCCCUAGAGCUGAACCACGCACCUGCAGGAGGAGACGCGAGCAUCCGAGCUGCAGAUGUUCUGGGCCUUGGAGAUGCUUUAAUGUGUACUGUCUGCGGAAGGCGU